rnacentral:rRNA from 1 species
GGAGUAUGGGCCGUGUCUCAGUCCCAUUGUGGCUGAUCAUCCUCUCAAACCAGCUACUGAUCGUCGCCUUGGUGGUCCAUUACACCCCCAACUAGCUAAUCAGAUGCAGACUCAUCCCAGAGCACCGGAGUUUUCACGAAUACCAUCACAGGUACGCGCAUAUGCGGUAUUAGCAGUCGUUUCCAACUGUUGUCCCCCACUCUAGGGCAGAUUCUCUACAUAUUACUCACCCGUCCGCCACUUAUGUAUCUCCGAAGAGACCUUAUCGUUCGACUUGCAUGUAUGAAGCACGCCGCCAGCGUUGUCCUCGAGCCAUGAUCAAACUCU